CUUCAGCGAGCCGAGCCACAGCGGCCGGUCCUCGGCGCGGUCCUGGCCGUAGGUGGCGAGUAGCGCCCCCGCCUC
rnacentral:antisense_RNA from 1 species